GGGGUGAUAAUAGUGGGUGCAGGUGAAUUAUGGGAGUUGUAGUGAGGGCUGAUAAUAGUGGGUGCAGGUGAAUUAUGGGAGUUGUAGUGAGGGCUGAUAAUAGUGGGUGCAGGUGAAUUAUGGGAGUUGUAGUGAGGGCUGAUAAUAGUGGGUGCAGGUGAAUUAUGGGAGUUGUAGUGAGGGCUGAUAAUAGUGGGUGCAGGUGAAUUAUGGGAGUUGUAGUGAGGGUCUGAUAAUAGUGGGUGCAGGUGAAUUAUGGGAGUUGUAGUGAGGGCUGAUAAGAGUGGGUGCAGGUGAAUUAUGGGAGUUGUAGUAAGGGUCUGAAAAUAGUGGGUGC